AUUGAACGCUGGCGGCAGGCCUAACACAUGCAAGUCGAACGGUAACAGGCAGCAGCUUUCUGCUUUGCUGAUGAGUGGCGGACGGGUGAGUCAUGUCUGGGCAACCGUCCGAUGGAGGGGGAUCACUACUGGCAACGGUAGCUAAUACCGAAUACCGUCGCAAGACCACCGUGGGGGACAUUCGGGCCUCUUGCCAUUGGACGCGCCCCGGGGGGGUGAGCUAGUAGGUGGGGUAACGGCUAACCCAGGCGACGAUCCCUAGCUGGUCUGAGAGGAGGACCAGGCACACGGGGGUGUAGACACGGACCGGACUCGUGCGGGAGGCCGCAGUGGGGAGUAAUGCAGAAUUGGCGCAAACCGGAUGCAGCGAGGCCGCGUGAAGGAAGGAGGCCGUCGGGUGGUAGAGUGCUUUCGGGGGGGAGGAAGGUAGUAAUGUGAAUGCCGUUGCUCAGUGACGGUACCCGCAGAAGAAGCACCGGCUAACUCCGUG
rnacentral:rRNA from 1 species